GCCAUUUUCGAGUGAUGCCCGAUCGCAUCGCUGCCGCGGGGGAGCCGCGGAGAGCGCGGCCGCCGCCGAAAGCCGCCUCGCUCCGCCGCCGGCCCUCGCGCUCCUCUCUCCCCCUCCCCGCCGCGCUCCGGAGCGGUGCCACGGGCGGUUUCGACCUUUCAAUAGAGAGCUGAUUUUGGAGAACGGCUUAGUCCUGUGAUUGAAAAACUCUUUCUGGAAGGUUGAUGGAGCAGGAGGAUGGUAUAUAUUAUAUUAACAUUUCUCUCUUACACGUGUUCUUUAUUUAAAAAGGAGAAAAAAAAAAAGUAUAUGGUGUAACUUCUGUGGAUUAUUCAAAAUAGGCGAAUUGUGCUGGGUUUGCCCGAGUUUUUUCUGUUUGGUAAAAUAAUUCUUCUUUACACCCUGUCUGUAAAAUUCUAAGAGGCUGAGUAAAAGCGAAGCAUUCACACCAGCUGCCUUCAGAAGGAAACAAAAUGGCCAAAAUUCGUACAAAAAGCUGAGUUUGCAGCAGCCUUGGUCAUAGGAGUUAUAUAAAUUCUCUAUAUAGUAUUGUUCUCGUAUUCUUGUAUUGGGAAUUAGUCCAAGUGAAAUGUUGCUAGUCCAAAAACAAGGUAUAGAGGAGGUAGUGUUUAUUUUUAAGUAACUUUAUUUUUGUUGUUGCUGUUGUUGUUGGGAGGGUUUGUUAAAGAAACGAACAGAGGGCUGAGUGCACUUCAAUGGAGUGUGCAAAACUUAUUUUUAAAUGUGUUAACAAACUUGCUGCUUGACGAGCUAAGAAGCAGGAAACGAGACAAAAUGGGCUUCAGAGGCCUCUACCUGUGGCAAAACAGGCAGAAAUCUCAUUUAAUUCCUGUAUUUGUCAGUAAAUGGAUUUUUUCUAUAGCGAAACAGCAAAUAUUUAAGCAAAUAAUAAAUAGGGACUGGCUACACUCAUACUGCAAGUCCUGCUUUGCAACAGAAGUACUCAUCUGGCUGAAACUGAGAAAUCCAUUCAGAGUAAUCAUAACCUACCUACUCGCAUGUGAAUAAUCUUAACUAACCAUUUCUAAAAACAAUUGAAAUUAAAAUAGUAACUGUUCUUGGAUUGAGUAAAUUUGUUUAAAUACUAAAUGGAGCCGUAAAAACUGUAAAACUUUAUCUUGAGCGAAAUAUAUUACAGUGCAACCAAUUUUAUGAACAUGUCGUGACUUUAGCAAUUCCAGCUUUCAGCUGGAAUCCACUUUGUAUCCUUAAUCAAAUCUGUCUGUCUUCAAGAACACAUUUUUCUUUUUUAUUUUGCAGGAAGUAAUUGUAUCAGAAAAAUAGGAGAAAUUUGGGGGAAAAAAAUGUAGAUGAUUUUGGGAACUGCUAAUUUGUCCUAAGCCCAUCCAGCAAAGUGUAAAUUGCAGCUUUCCUCAGCGCUGUAACUUAUGUCCACUACACCCGAGGAGCUGCUGCUUUUGCCACUCGAACACCUCCUGGCACAGACCUGUUUGAGGCAGACAUGUUCUGAAUGUGUUUUUCGUACAAUGAAAACGGUGCUAUGAUUUUUAGGGGGUGGCGAAGACCACCUACAGGCACUUAUCAGCUGGGGAAGCAAAUGCUGAAUACAGAAAGUGCAGGGACCCGGUGGCAAAGGAGGGAAACAGAAGCUUCUGUGAACUCUGCAAUUUGUGAUCAGUGAAUUGGAGAUUUUGCAGUUCUUUUUUCCUCUUUCUGAUUAACAGUUGUGGUAAAAGUUAUUUUUAUUAAUGCAGUAAGAGUGUUUGGGUGACAUGUCUCGUAGGAUCCCAAAGAAAUAAAUAUUUUACAGGCUGGCUAGAAACUGCACCGAGUGUAAUGCAUGUGGGUUUGGGUGGUGGUUUCUUUUUUUUUUCUUUAAUCCUGGUUCUCUUAAGAGCAUAAAGAUUUCACAGAACACCUCUUUGAAUUUGUUCAUUCUUUCUUCUUUUUUUCUAUAUUUUUUCCUCUUUUUUUUCCCCCCUUUACAAAAGCAAUUACAUUCUUGUUAAUGAAAAUCAGGAUUAUAUUGCAAGGCAAAAGUAUCUAAGGCUCCCUUGUGACAUAUUUAAAAGGUGAAAGUUUGAUGGAGUGUUCCUUGGGCUGACAUGAGCUCAGUGUAUUUCUUAUAGAUUCUUAUUGAGCAAAAAAAAAGAUAUAAUAUCUGGUUCACAACUGUAAAUCAAAGGAUUUUUAAGUUUAGGGCCUGAGCCUGCAGAGUUCUAAAUACACAAGUAGUCCUAACAGCUCACUUCCACUAAUAAGGAUUUGCAGAAUCAUGUCAGCAGAUCCAAACUUGUAUUUUAUUUUUUUUAGUAAAUAAAAAAUAUCCAGGUAAUUUGAACUUUGAGACAAGCUGGAGAAUUUUUUUUUAGGAGCCCAAAGAGGAGACUUUAGCAGUAGUGCAGCUACAGAGUGUGACUCGUGUACAAGCUGAGCUGUCUCUCAGGAGUGCUGCAGUUGUCAGUUGCCUUUAGAAUCUAUUUUUCAAGUGUUGAUUGGCUCUAGAACAGUUUUUUUGCUGAAAUUUGGCCUCCAUUAAUUUUGUUGUAGAGCUGGUCAGCAUGUUUGCUGGGGAAGUGCUCAGCGUGGCUGUUUUGUGCCCCAAAGAGCAGUGAAGCUUUGCAGAGAGCUCUGGGGUGUGUUUUAGUUUCUAACUCCCAGUUUCUGCUGCUGCAGUUCUUAUUUAGGCAAACUACCACCGAUUUUUUUUUUGUUGUUGGAAAUUAACCCUGCAGUAAGGGCUGCGGUGCUGGCCCCUUAAAAACUGUUGGUGUGGCUAUUGCAAAUAGUGUGCUCGACUUCGUGGGCUGUUUUGCAAUAUCUAGUUGUAAUGAGCUGAAGAGAUAAAAAUGUGCAGGCUUCUUUGCUGAAGUGCUUCCCGUGUGCAACUUUCCAUGGCCACUUUUACCACUCGCAGAAUAGGUACAUGCUUGAGCCUCUGCAGACCUUGUUGCCUAAAUCACAAUCUGAUAGCUGACAUUGCAUGCCUGCUGCUCUGCUCGUCUGAAGGAGCUGCUGCAGACAUCUUUGUCAGCUCAUCAGUGCUUUCUUUAAGGACUUCUGCUGCUUUUUUUUUUCUUUUUUUUUCAAAAGCAACUUAAAUAAUUUUCCUGAAGGAGAGAUGUGGCUAUAAAGGCACCCCUUGCCUGCUUAUUACAGCACAUGUAAGGUCAGCCCUCCUUUGAAACCCCUCUGAUAGCUCAGACGUGGCUGCUUUAAAUUUAGAAAUCUGAAAGAAGUGAAUUUUCUGGAUUUUGCUCAUUUUAACUACAUCCAGCCCUAAUAUUAUUUUAAAAUGGAGCUUUGUGCACUGUUUAAAUUUAAAUAAACCUUAACUUUUGUUAUUAGGCUAGGCAUCUCGUGGAACAGCUCUGUGGCAAGGAUUUGAGGCUGGUGUACUUACACUUCAAUUUUUCCUUCUCUGUUGAUGAAGUGAUCCCGAAAAACAGUUGCAAAAGAAGAACAAACGACCCACAGAGUCUUCAGGAAAAAUAGUUAAAAAAUGCUAACUGGCAGAUUUAAGUGUUUAUGCUUCCCCCUCCAAGCCUAAUGCAUGAAAAUAGGCUCUAGCUUGUAUUUAUUUAUUUAUUUACUUCAACAACAACAACAACAACAGCAGCAGCAGCAACAAAAGAAAAAGCAGUGCAGAAAUGUGUGCAAACCCAGACGUCUGAGCUGUGGGUAAAGGAAGAGGAAAAAAAAUACAAUUAGAGUUAUCCUAAAUGUUCAGCUACUGUAUCCGUAGCUGUGUUAACCUGCCUUGCUUGGGACUGCUGCUCACACACCAGCAGGAAAAGGAGCCUGUAUGAAGAUGGGAGAGCUAAUUCAGUAUUGCUCUCAAAUAAGCCCCUGUUUCUGCCUUUGUUGAGUUUGAAUUUAUUUUAAAUACAUGGAUAUCCACGGUAGCUUUUUAGUUCUGGGUCUUUUGGAGGGGUUUUGGGUUUGGGGGUUUUUUCUUGUUUUUUUUUUAAUUAUUAUUAUUAUAUAUAUAUUUUUAGGACAUGUUAUGUUCUGUUACAUUCACAAUUUUUACAGCAAUAUUUUGAGGAAAAUUACUGCUUUUCAGUAAAACAUGAUAAUCAAUUUAAUUCAAUUAACUAAGAUAAUUAAUUUCAAGCCAGAGAUGGGCUGCAUCUGUAUUUUUAAUUUGUACAGUGCUUAAAAAUCCUGGUAGUGUGCAAAUACCUCCAAAGUAAUUACACCUUUCCCUUAUUCAAGUCAAUGGGAAGAGCUUGCUGCUGAUUUCUUGUGAGUGUACUCUUAUUUUCUUUUUCUGGAUUUUUUUUAUGACUUCAAACCCAAAAUUUUCACGAUUUUAUCCAUCCACUUCUUAGCUGUUAUGAAGAGGAAUUUUUUAAUUAUUUUUAAUUAUUUUUUUUUUCCCUCGAAUAUGGGUUUAAGCACUAAUAUGAAAGCUAACAUAAAUAUUUGGGGAAUAUUGUAAUUUUCGACAUGAACGGAGUCCUCCCAACUUGAAAUGAUAAUUUCCUACAUCAAAAUAGUUGUAAUAUAUUAUAAUUCACUUGGGCUUAUUGAACGUUCUGGGGGAGCCAGGAAUUCCAGUGCAUCUGAGAAACAAAAACCAUUUGAUUUAGAAUUUCUGUAUUGUCAGAGCAAUGUUUUCUCUGGUUGAAGAGGCAGAUACUGUGGUCUGAAGGGAGUUAACACUCAAGUUAUCCUGCGAACGCUUUGCUUCCCCCUGUUACAAACUAUUACACGUCUUACUACAGACCAGGAAUUAGAAAAGGAGGAUGCUCCAUCUGUUGUGAAACGUUGUAACAGCUCUUAUGAGAAAGCCUGAUUCUAAAUAUAUGCAAAAGUCUAUUGCAGAGCAGAGUUCUGUGACACAAGUCUGACAGUACCAGCAGUACCUCGCGCAGGCAGGCAAAACCCCUUAGCAAAGGGAAUGGUCUUCUGCUGAGGUACUCCUUGUGGUGCUCCCCAGAAGAUUUCUUGAGGCUCUCAGGAGAAGGCAGAGUGAUGCUGUCAGCGACAGGCACAGCAGUUACACAAGCAGCAGGGAAAUGUGUAUUUUUCUUCGUCUGUUUUAUAACCUGACUGAGUCUGUUUCAGUUCUCAGGCAGUGUGGCUGUUACUUCAAGGGCUGUAGUGCUGUCUGACAGGCGUUUCUUUGUUUUAUUCUUGUUGGAAAAAAAACAAAAAAAGGUUCAUACGUUGAUUUUUUUCAGUGCUGUGUGUGUGGCUGUCCAUAAUCUAUCUGAUAUGGAAGGGUUACCAGGUCCUAAAAUUCAUUACCUCUCUGAUCAGUUCGAGAGUAGAGGAAAACGUGGUUUGAAACAAGAUCAGAGGAAAAUGCUUGGGCUUUUCUUUCUGGAAUUAGCAGGUUUAAAAUGAGGACUGUUGUUUGCACAGUGCCUGUUUGCAUCCAGGUUUGGAGUGCAACUACGAGAUCCUGGAAUCAGCAGGGAGAGAAUAAUUCCUUCUAGAGUGUUAGUGCUCGUAGGCUGGGCUCUGUUUUUACACCACCAGCUCCUCAGCUUUCAUUAAAGUUUUGAUUCCAGCUCUGUCACUGUAAUUACAGUGGAUCUGGCUGUCAGUGCCUCCUGUUUGUUUCAGGAAAUGGUAUUUUUGUGAAACUGCAUGAGAAACUGAUGGAAGUGUAAAAUACAUGAACGUUCCUAAGUUCCCUCUUAAACUUGCUGUCCUUGAUUUUUAUCUCCCUAUUUAGAAGUGCAGAUUUCCUCUUGCAUUUUUGGGCUGGAAUCCUCAGUUUGCCAAUCUCUCAGUCUUCUGACAUGAAAAUGAUCCUUCAGAAAGGCUGCUCGCUUGUUGUUGCUUUAUGUUUUUUUGGUUUUUUUUUUCUUCACAAAGUUUUAUUUUUAGCUUAAUAAAACUUAAGUUGUUGACCCACUUUUCCAUUAUGUAAAAACCUGAGCAGAAUUUGUCAUUGAGGCAGGAAUUUGUGAAGGCUAACACUAGAGGGCAAUUCGAAGCAAGAGUCUGCCUGCCCCGCAGCUCUUACGGUCCCUCUUGAAAAAUGGGGAGCCUAUGGGGGCUGUCCUUGCAUCCCCCGGGCCGCAGCCAGCCUCUGUGACCACACUCCUCAGUCUUCCAAUUAACUCUGUUUUCCUAUCCAGUCCAUAACUUGAGGGUAUGUUCGGGUGCUGCGCUGAAUGAGAAGGAACUUAAGCCAGGUCCUGUGUUCUGCUGCAUUAUCAGUUAACAAACCUCUUCUUCCAGUCUCCUUUCCUUCACUCUUGCUGCUGUCGGAAGGGCAUAAUGCAUUCAGUGGCCUUCUUUUGUUUUGCUUGUUGGGUAUUAAUUUGCUCAUAACGUGCCACACCGAACCCUCUGGAAGUGAUGCGAAAGAUGCUGAGUUUGGGGAGGUGAGGUACCACUGUGCUGAAACACACCUGAAAAGGAAUGCCUUUUACUUCUGAGCAUCAUAGGAAAUAAAAACAGUGAGUGAGAAAUAGGCUGAAUUUGCUGAAAUGCAUUGGUAGCUGAGAAAUCAGGUUUUGUGGAAGCGAUUGGAACAAAUUAACAGCAGUGCUAAUAGCCAGGGAAACGCUGCUGAAUUACCUUAACGAGAAAAUAUACUGUUUUUAAUUUUUAAUGUAAUACAUGUAGAAGGGAUCAGACGGGUAGAUGAUGCCUGUAAUUUUACCACGCCGGUAUAUGAGAUGUAAAAGCAGAGUUGCAGGGAGCUGAUCGCUCCCCCACAGUGAAAUACAGCACUUGAUUGCUCAUCUGUGUGUAUUGUGCAGGAUUUAAAAAAUUUACAUAACAGUGCAUUACAUAAUAAACUAUAGUUUUCACAGGUUGCAGUGUUCAUUGUGGUCUACUGGACAUCCCCAUGGCUUGUAAACAGCAACCUGUAGUGAGGAGGGGUGAUGUCGUGCUUCUUGAAAUGCACUCCAGGAUUGUUAUUUUAGCAAUGCAGGUUCUCUCAUUAUAUUGAAACGUAUUGCAUCCAGCAGCAUAAGUGUUUGUAAGUGCCGUGGUGCACAUUUCAACACGGGGUAUUUCACAGAUGUGUGUUCAUAUCCAUCUAUAGAGCUGCACGUUAUUUUAUAUGGUAUAUAUACUUCUAUAUAAAAAGGCUAUUCCGAGGUUCAGGUGGUGUGGUCGUUCCUACAUUAUGUACCAGCUUUUCAAGUAGUAUAGUUUUCACAUCCUUUGUACAACUUAUUUUAGAGCUCUAGAACUUAUUCUUUCUUUACCUGCUUUUUUUUUUUUUUUUUUAGUAAGGAAUAUGGAUAGGAAUAUUGGCGUGCAUUGUUGCAGUAAACAUUUACACCUAUCUCUGCAGGUCUGGUCUGCAACUUCAGUGCAGUUUGAAUAUGUAAUCUGCUGGCAGCGAUGUGCCCAAAGUCGGUCUGAAUUUGUGGAAGGGAGAUUGCUUCAUCCUACAGUGUGUAGUCCUGACCUGGAUGAGGCUGACAGAAGGAAACAAAUAAUAUGGAAAGGAAGAAGAAAAAAAAAAGGAUAAUGGAAUGCUUCAGUGAUGAGGAGGUUUUUGUUUUAUUGGGGGGGGGGGGAUAUGGAGAGUGGGCAAGGAAUUAUCACUGCCCAUGGUUAUCAGCUAGAAGAAAUCCUAACUGCACAUUAAACUCAGUCUUGAGAACAUGCAUGUUUAAUGCAAAAUCAAGCUGAAUAUUCAAGUGCUUAAACCAAGCGUGCAUAUAUGCUGUUAAGAAAUUGAUUUCUUAGUGCUCUGCAGGUAAAACUAUCAAUUUUUGCCAACAUGCAUAUUUUAUCUUUUUUUUUUCUCUUACUAGUCUGAUUUUUUUUUUUUUUUUUUUUUUUUGGCCUUAAAUCAGCCAGAGAAGUUCAGUUGUUAACAUUUCAGGCUGUCUUAUUUGUAUUAUUUGCAGCAAGCAAGAACAAAAGUGUGAGUAUCAGCAGUGUGCAGAGCAGUGCUGCGAUAUUGUUCUGUGCUGCCUUUAAGCAGGUGGUUUCUCGUGGCAGGCUGGAAGAGAGAUUCUUUUUCUUCCCAGCUUUUGACAAAAAGAUGACGCAUAUGUCUCAGAAUUAGAAGGGGAAAUCUGCCAGUUUGCAUCAGUUCCUCAACUUGUGGGUUGCUUUUCACCACAAGGAAAAUUGGUACAUUCGCACCAGUGCUUCUUGAGAGAUGAGGAGUAAUCAUUUCCUUCAGAAAGUGUAGGAUGAUUGGAGUAGGCCCUUCGUAUGUUACACUAGGCUUUUCCUAUAAGAUAUCUUCCGAGUGUAUUAAAUAUUUAGGAAGAAAAGAAAAAAAAGCAUGGUCUUAAAUGCUGCUCUUAAUGCCUGAAAUAGGGAUCGUGCAUCUUAUAACUUAAUGCAGAGCACAAGCAGUGGAAUCUGCUUCCUUUUGAAAAUACUAAGCUUCUCUUCAGCUGGAAUUGUAACUCAGAAAAGCCCUGUAGAUCUCCAGAGCUGAAAGGUAAGUUGUUCAGCUUUGUUUUUAACCUAAUCCUAUGUAUCUUAGUCUCCAAUUCCAGCCUUAAAUUAAGUUAGUAGGACUGGGGAGGGAGGGGAGGAAAUUAAUGCAGUGGAUUUGAGAGCUAAAGGUAUCUGCUUUGUUGGGAAAGCAUUUCAUAUGAAGUAAGGAAGGUCUAAUUUUCUACAACGUCAUGCUGUAGACCUGCUGGAAAAAAAAACCAACAACCAGGCAGUAGCUUAUGAAAGAAUCUGAAUUACCACUAAGGUUUGGGAUAUGGGGGAGAGAGUUCUCACCAUGCUGAGGUUGCUCAAAGGAUGCGCUGCCAAAUGGCCAUUUACUAAGAUAUUGAUGGCUUUUUGUUUUGUGGCUAUUUACCAAGCAUUUGAUAGGACUGAUAGUACCACUCAGAUUUCUUGGCUGCUACUGUGGUUUUAAGCAUUGGAUUUUACAUUUUUUCUUAAUAUAUUAACUUCUGGUUAAUUCAGUAUGGUUUUACUUUAAGCUCGUUGGUGAAAUAUUGAAAAUCUAGCUUAAUAUAAAGCCUUAGGAGGUACCCAGCAUCCUCAUCUUUUUUUUUCCUUUUUCUCUUUUCUCUCAAGUGGAUAAAGUUCCUAUCAUUCAGUUGUUUAGAAAAGGCAUAUCCUAAACACAUCUCUUUUUCUAGCUGUAGAAAUGAACUUCACUGUUUAACAGUCAGCCUUAGAAAGCACCGUAUUCCUGUGCACUAGCUCAGUCUGUGAGUCAUGGGUCUCACUGAUGGGGGAGUGGGUAACAAACCUAUAAAUGUUUUUGAAUGGGAGUAUUCAUGUGCGUGUGCAGAUAGAUAUCUUUUGUAUGAAUAAGGGGGGAGGGAAAUGAUCAGCCUUCUAUCGGGCCUCCUGUGUAUUUCUUCAGCUAGCGUUGACUUAAGCCAAAAUAAGUAGGUAGUAUGACCAGAAAUCUGUACCCCAAAGGUGUUAAAGACACCCAAAGCUCAUGCUCAAGUGACUGUUUAAUUUGUGAAGCUGUAGAGAUAGAGCUAAGGGCUGGAAGAGUUACAGCAGUUGCUGGUAGGUGUUCCCCCGAUGUUAACUAGAGGAUUCCAUUAGCAGUUGAGUCAAUCUCUUCUAGCGGCACUUUUACCUUUCGUAAGUCAUACAUUGUCUGGCAUUUCAUAGAAGUCAUGUAGAGAUGAUGUCAAGAGACAGAAGAUAAAGACAAAUUUACUGUCUGGGCCAGAAGGCAGGCUCACAAGAGGCAACUUCUUUCAGGACACGAAAAGCUCUUUGUUCUGUGGCCUUGGUCUUUCUGUGCUUUGACCCUUAUUUUACAGCGUUGUCACUCUGACCCUAAAUCUUUUGAAGCAGGCGGGCAGCAAAUGUAGCCCUCUACGAGUGGGGUUGCAUUCUGAGCUACGGGCCUGGUUCUGUCUUCAGGCGUUGUAGUUCCUUGCAAUUCGGAGAGGCAGCAGUUGAAAAUUAAAGAUGGGUGCCGCUGUCCAGAGCAAGUAGGAUUGCACAGCAGGGUCAUCUUUAAGAGUAUAUCUGCUUCUGUGCAUACUGCUUUAUUACCAUCCUGUGAUUCAUUAUGACUUACCAAUUUCAGAUAAGAUGGCAACUAGGAGGAUGGCCUGGCUAAAGCUAAUUAUUUUCCCCUUUCCCAGCAGUAAUUUGGAAACUGAUCCUGUGCACUUAGCACCGGGGUUGCUGCAAAGUGCUGCCUGAGCAUUCGGCAUUCUGUAGAGGACAGGAGGAGCUUUGGUGUAGAUGCUAGGGUUAAAUACUUGAGCAUCAGUACCUGCCCACCUUUCUUUCACACAAGAGUGGGUGCCAGCUUAGAAGAGCACAGUGUUUUACACCAGGCCUGUGGCUGCUGCUUGGGCUAAAAGAAGCAGCCUGGUGAGAAUUUGAGAGGGGAAAAAGGAAGCUUCAUUUUUUAUUAAUUGAAGAAAGCUAGAAAUGAAUGGAAAGGGCAGAAACCUAAAAGUCUGCUGAGAUGUCCUGAGUUUUUAUCAUUUACCUUUAUUCUUUUAUAGCACAAGGUAAGAGAAAUGUAAUGUAUUUAAGAGGAGAAGCUGUUCCUCUGUCUUAAUAACUUUCCACUAUACAAUGUGAGGGUUUUGUUAUUUUGGCAGUUCUGUUUUCUCCUUCACCAGCACUGUUCUGCAUAUGGGCUUUCAGCAACUCAAACUGUAAAAAUAGGAUAUUCUUUUCUGGGGGUAACAGUGUAAUUAUCUAAAAAUGCACAUUUAUUGGAGAAUUGGAAUAAAAAGAUUUUUUUUUUAAUCUUAAAGGAUGUCAUAAAAACAUUUUAAUUAAAAAAAAAAUGUUUAGAAAUUGAAGCUGUGUUUCAGGGCAAUCCUGGCUUUCUUUUUGGUAGAUUCUACAGACCAAGUAUUGAUCUUUUUGUGAUGAAAACUGGGGGGGAGGGAGAGGAGGAAGAGACAUUUCAAUAACUACUGUAGUAACAUAUAACACACAGUUCCUAGAACACAGAAAAUAGUGUAUUUCUUCCUCUAAUUCUGUAUGUGUCCUCUCAAGCAGAAAGAGCACAGAUUGAAAGUGUUCACACAGUUUUCUUCUUGUGCGUAUGCCAAAGGUGCAGAGAAGACAGAUUUCUAGAAGUUGUAUGCAUGCUGCAGCAGUGCAAAGAAGAGGGAUGUGGGAAGCUAUCCUGAAAUCCAACUUUCCCAAACCCUGUUGGGACGCAGAGCUUGUUACACUCCAUGAGUUUGCAUUAAAAUACCUCAUCUAGCAGUAUAGUGAAUGCAUCAGCAUCUGACAGAACGCUUCUUAGAAGCUGGGGAAAGAGGUGUGAGGAGUUGGUCUUAUUCAAUUUCAUUUUUAAGCUAGAGUCAAAACUGAAAUAUACAUUGAUAAUAUUUGUCUGCCGUCUGUCAGCUUCCCUUAGGGCUUCUUUUUUAGCUCUAGCAAGCGAAAACAUUUGUUUCAAGUCUUGUGCUCGAUUUCUCACUUCAGAUCUGAGUACCUUUUAGUUUCUUUCCUUCCAUAGAGCAUUUCGAUUGCCAUCCAUCGCUUCCACAGAAGCCUCAAUAUUGCCAUUCCAAAUGACUGUCUGUCUUUCUGUUUGUUGACGUGACUGCAGGGAAGGACUGGUGCACCUCCUACAACAGAACAUGCGAGUCAGGUCAGUGUAAGCCGUGGUUGGAGGACUGAGAUGAAUUUAAAAGGAUUUAAAACCAAAAUUAAUGCUGAUGGACCAUAACUGCAUUUUCAGACUUCCAUAUAUUUUUCAACUGCAGACCUUCUUAACGUUUUAGUUACUGGGUUGGUUUUAGUUUUUUAGCUGACUUUGUUACUUUAUGUUUAUCUUUUGCAGUAGCUCUCCAGAUAGUCUAAAUAUGUUUGUUUAUGAUCCUUGGAGGAAUGGCUGGACACAUGUUAUAGAUUCUCCAAAUUUAGCAACAGUAAAUUUCUGUAAUCAGCAGUUAUCUGCUUAAAUUUCAUUAGUAAUAUUUUACAUUGCACAGAACUUCUGUCACUGUCUCAGUCUCUUACUGUGAUUGCACAGGAAAAAUUGUUGACACGAUUGUGAAACAGUUAACAGAGAAUCCCCCCUUUUCUUUUUUUACCUCACAGUUUGUGUGCUUGACCUUACCCAUAAUUUACAACCAAAACUGCAGAGCAGUUCUGGCUAUCUCUGUUCAAAUAAUCUUCCUUGUGUUCAGAAAAUUAUCCAAAGCACUGUGUCUUUUUAAUGCACAUUGAUGCUAGUCUUAAAAAUACUUAGCUGCUUGGUAGAAGAUAGGGGAAGAUUUAUUGUACGUGGUGAGAGUGCAUAAGCUUGGUCCUGAAUGACUGUACCUUUCUGUGGUGAAGUGAUGCUAAUUUAUUGCUGCAUUACAGUCAUUUAAUAAUAAUAAAUAAUCCUAAAAAGAAAACCCACAGAAUUGUUAGGUCAGAAAAAAUUGCUUUUUAGAGCUGCAGUCCUAACUGUGAGCCCAGUCUUACUGUUACUUCCAGAUAAAGGUAAUUAAGGUAUGUAUUUCUCUCCAUUCUUUUUGCUCUCUGGGACCACGCAGUAGUCUCGAUUAAGUUGAGGGCAUUAAGUGAAUGUCAUAGGCUAUACCCAAACCAAGCAACAGUGCAGUCGUUGCCAGAAGUGCACCAAUAUCUUUAAGAUAAUGCUUAGGAUAGGUAUUUCAAUUGAAUCUUUUCUCAUAUCUGCAUGUCACUGAAAGUAAAGGCUGUGAAGAAGCCCCUUCAGCCCUAAAUACUCACGUCAGCUGAAACUCCCAGCAGAGAGGGAUGGCAGAAUAUUGAAUUAGCAUCUAUUUUAAAAUGUAAGUUUUAAAAAUGAACAAGGGCUAUAAAUUCCUGCAUGUUUGCAGUAGAAAUAUCACAGUGUUGAGCAAGCAUAAGACAAAAAGUGAAACUACUAUUGUUUAAACUGGUGGGGAAAAAAGUAAACAGUACAUUAUCAAGACCCAGCUCCGUACACUUUUAGAUAUCAAAGUUUGGAUGCUUAAGAAUAGGUAUGUUUGUGUUUCUUAAUACUGUGGUGACAGUGUCUCUUCAAUUCUGUCUUUUUCACAGAGGUAAGGAGGGCUGGUAUCCCACAUUAAUUUGAUAGAAAGCAUGUAUUUGAAGCAGGUAUUGACUGUUGACGUGUUUGUGCUGAAGAGUGUUUGAGUGGUGCUGACUUGUGGUCUGAAAGGGCAGCUUUGCAAGUUUACCUGCAGUGUAAAAAAAAAAAUAGUAAUAAUAAUUCUCACUGCAAAAUGUCUGUCCUAUGAGUAAGUUAUGCUCUUGGAAUGCAUAGAACAGGACAGAUGUCAGAACUGUUGUCUGCACACAACGCUGUCUCGCAUCAACUUAAAGGGGUUAAGCUGGGAGAACUUGCAUAUGGGGAUGUGCUUUCUGAUGACUGUGCUCUGGGUGCCACAUAGCACUGGUGGGAAGCAGUGUCGUGCUUCAGGCUUGAAACCCUGAGAGCCUUCCAGUGUCUUUCACCUCUCAUUCUCUGGUUUUAAACUGCAGCGAGGUUGAAAAGGGUGGCAGUGAACAGUGAAGCAAUAGCUGUGCUUUCGUAGCGUAUCUGCGUUGCUUUGCAGUGAUGAACAAGUAACCCAAACAAAGGAAUAUGGCUGUGUGUGAAUGGUGUCUGACUAUCAACGUGGAAGGUGCGUUGGCCAAGAAAUAUCAGGAGGGAGCUGUUGGUGUCUGAGCACAAUGUGCCAAGUAAAUGUUGAAGCUUAUGGCACAUUCCUGGGCAUCUGACACGAUGUACUAUAUUUAAUAGAAGGCCUUGGUUUGGUUUAUUCCAAAUCACCGGGCUGUCAGAUUGCUGGCUGGUAGCACCUCUUUGAAUAUAACUUGUUAUUUAAAUUAAACUUAUUAGUAGCUAUAGUAGCCACAAAUUCACAUGGAAUUGAUUUUUUUUCAUGGGAUCAGACAGAAAAUGACUUGGAGUUGGUGUUGUCAUAAACUCUUAACCAUAAAGCAAUAAAAAACUGAUGGCAGUAUUUUACAUCAGGCUGUUCCUUGAUGCGUCAACUGAAACACUGAAAUCAAGAAAAAGCUUUCUGACCACCACCCCUUUUUUUAAUUAUUGCUUUUGUAAGCGGUUUCGCUGCUUUUCUAAUUUCAUUUUCUAAUUUCUCAUUCCUUCUCUGUAUGUGUAAAGAUCCUCCUUCGCUGGUAUUUAAAUUGUACCUCUUCAGAACUCUUCUAUCUUUCUCAGCAGAGCUCCUGCUUGGAGUGGGGCCUGAUGGAGACACCUAAUGGAGUUGUCUGUACACACAAUCCUCUGCUUAUAUUGAGACUUCCUCGGUGAUUUGCUCCCCAACAACAACUGAAGACAUAAGGGUAGAGGUAGGAAAAGCACUCAUUAGAAUGACUGUGUCAGCUUUGUGGCCAAAGCACAGAGGUGCAAAGCUUUGUGCAGAUGCUCCUGGAUAUCAGUAGAUAUCUUGCUUAAUUAUCUGUAUGCUUUUUAUCUUGGUCUUCCUCCUUUCAUCCUUUUCCUGUUUUUCAGCCCUUUCUCUCAAAUAUAUCAUCUUCGAUGGUAGCUUGCUUCUACUCAUUACAGAGAAAAUAUAUUUUUAAUAGCGAAGUAGAAAAUGUGCACUCGUGGUUUUUUGUUUUUAAUUUUAUUUCUUGUUUGGGGGAAUUUUUGGUGGUAAAGGUUUUUCAAAAGUAAUCCUAUCAUGCAUGUGAAGUUUUGUAUUCAUGUUUGGGGAAGGGGAAAUUACCUGCCAGUUCCCCUCGUGUACUCACUGGGGAAAAUAAUGUAAUAGUUCUGCUAAGUCUUCAUCUCAUGGGGGGUGUGUAGUUUAAUUUUAGAGGGAUUUACUUCUAUAGCAGAAGGGGGGGGUGGGUUAAUUAAAAAAAAAAAAAUCCCACUCAUUCUUAAGCUAGAAAGCUAAAAACAGCCAGGCAAUUAGGCAACUGAAACAACAGUAUCUAGUUUAACACAGUUUACAUCCAGGCCAAAUUCUUAAUUUGUAUAAAUGAGAAAUGUACUUCCAAAGGUAUUAAAUGUUGCAGCUGUCGUUUUUAAAUUAUUAAAUUCUGAUAUCUUAAGGUAAAACUUUACAAGUAAGAGGCAGUAUUUGCUCUUAUGGGAGAAAUUUUCCUUGUCUUUUCCCAGAGAAGUUUAAGCAAAUCUUUUUCCUGCUUUCUGGCUAGCAUCUUCACAAACAUUUUUCUUACAUUCUCCCCCUUCUCUUUAUGCAUACAUAGAUGCACACGUAUGCAGUGGAUUAUGUUCAGCAUAGCUUCUUUGGAGGGAUGACCAGCUGUCCCAGCAUACUGUUGCAGUUAGGUUCCUUUUCCCUUUACAUUCAGAUUCUACAUCACCAAGGUGCUGGACCCUUUUAGCAGAGACUGUCCUGCUGUAUUACCAUAGGAGCAAACACUGGAAAGAAGUCCCAUCUCUGGCCUGCAAAACUACUUUGUGCUUACACAGAUAGCCCUGUUAAUUAAAGAGGGUGAUUUCAUCCUACGCUGGCUAGAAGACUCUUCACAGUGGAAAGAGGUACUUGGUCUGAAUCUGUGGGAAUCUUUCAUUGAGACAAUUGAAAUCGCUGCAGUGAGAAUGGAAAUUACUUGGGAUCCUUUCCUUUUAAAAGCUGUAUGCAAGAACUGUGUGAGAUAAGCCUGCAAGGAUGCACUGUCUCCAGUGGUGGAAUGGAACUCUCCUACAUUUGCAGCUCUGAGGUCCUAUGGAUUUUGCCUGAUUGAAGAAAGGAAGGUGUAUUAUUCAAUCCAAAUGCUUAUUUUUCUGUUAAUCUUAGGAACUGUGAGGGGAAGAAGAUGCUUAAUUUAUAAAUAAGCAAAAUAAAAGAGGGGCCUGCUUGCAAAUAUCUUGAGAUUGUUGCUCUUCGAGAGUGAAGAUAGUUGGUGAGAGGAGCAUGUCUGAAACGCCUGUGCUGAAAGAUUGGAGCUGCAAACUGGUAGGGGAAAGAGAUGUGAAACUGGAAAGUUCAAAGGACUGGUACAGGUUGGGCAAUGAUUUUAAGGAUUUGUUUGUUUCUUGAAGAUGGAAGAAGCAGCAGCUUAACAGGAGGAACCCUGCCUGAUUCUGCAAAGAGAAGGUCAGGCUUGGGGAAAGCAGAUCAACCUUAAGGUUUAUUAGAAUGCUUAGCACUGGAGUCAGGCUGUUACAUAGUAGUUUUUGAUAUGAAAUCGCUGUCACUUUCAUUUCUCAUCCAAUUCCACACAGAAAAGGGCAACUUUAUUACUGCAGUCUGCUACUUUGUGAAAUUUUGUCCUGAAAAGGCCUCCCAAAAAUUAGAUAGUAGUUGAUGGGCCUCUAGAGAUCAUCUAGCCUAAGCAGGAUCAGGCAGAACAGGCCUCUCAGGGCUGUAUCUGAUCUUAAUCUGCCCCCCUGUGUUAGUCUACUAUGAAGCAAUCCACGUGAUCAUAUGGAAUAUUCAAUGAUAGGACCAGCAUGGUGAGCUGCUGAGUCAGGAAAGAUGUUUGUAGGCUGUGCAAGGAGGAAGCCCAACGCUGUUACAGGUGCUGUAGAAAUAGGUUGAAAAUUCUGUAGGGAAUGGACCAAAGCCUACAAGCAGAGGAAGCUGUGUCUUCAUGGUGACAAGAAACAAGAAUUCCUAGGAAUUGGAUGUUAUAUUUAUUUUUCUGUCUUUAUUUUUGUAUGAUGCUGUACAAGUUACUAGGCCAUUGAUUUUUGUAGUGUUUAUGUUUCUCACUUCACAGAUGACUUUAAGCCAUUGUGUCCAGUGGAAACACUAGAUGUCCACAUUUGCAGCUGGUUUGCUUAAGAAUUGUAAACAUGAAUUCAAACUUGAUGGAAUGUGAUGUCCGUCUGGAGUUUCCUACAUAUUUCAAGUGGGAUACAUCUAACUGUUGGGUACUACUGUAGUUUCUAUAUCUUCGUGUCACAUUUAAAGUAGGGCUGAUAGUCACUUGAAGGGAUGUUUUUCUAUUUUUGCUUGCUUCAAGCUUUGUUUAGUAGAUGUGCUACAGGGAUGUGCUUCCUCGUGGGAUUUUCUAUGGCAUUUACGACUUCAGAUCACAGAGGAAGAGGUGAGUGUUGUGUGUUACCUUGUUAGCAGUUCAGGUAGAAUCACUUGGUUAGCACCCUAAACAGUUUAUUUCCAUUGGAAGUUAUUUAACAGCUCUCAGUUACAGCUCUGUUUUUCAGAAUCUGACUUGCUUAUAAUAGUCCUGUGUUAAUAAAUCAAAUGUAACUUAUACCUAACAUUGCUCUCUUUUCUUACUGUAAAAUUUGAUCCCUGUAUUCAACAUUUCUGAAAUAAACAUUAAUUAUAGUAACAUGUAUCUAUGUUAAGUAUGUAAAAGUUUGAGUCUUCAGUCUUAAGUAGAUAGUGCUGACUGACUUAGCUUCUGCUGAGAGAUAGGAAUCGUAUUGUAGCCAUUAUGUUGUUUUUUUCUGCUGCUUAUAACUGUAGGAGAUUGCCAUAAAUGAACCAUGGGCUCUGCGGGGUAAGCAUGUGGCUCUGCAUAAAGGAAUCUUUUA
ensembl:lncRNA